GCCAGAGGCGAUAGCACCUUGAAUGCACCAGAUCCCCAUUCAUCACUGAAGUUAAGCAACGUUGCGCUUGGUUAGUAUCCGGAUCGGUGACCAUCUGGGCUAUCGCGUUCUGCUGGCU
rnacentral:rRNA from 1 species